UUGUUUUCAAAUUAUGAUUCAAGUGUUGUGUAUAUAUUGCCAAUUACAAGUAUGAUCUGAUUUUGAUUAACAACUUGAACUAAGCAAUUGAGAGAUAGUACUUUGAAUUUCAUUUCCUUCUAUAUACUAAAAAAGGGCUGUGUGUCAAGAACACAAGGAACUGAUGCAGACUUGAUGCACUCGUUGGCUGGGUUAAGCAAUACAUACAUGUAAUAGGAAAAUAAUUUUAUUUCAUGGAAAGAUCCAUGGUGGAGCAUCAAUACAUUAGAUAAAGAGAGGUAAUAUUUAUGUAAUUUCAUUUAAACUAAUUUUAAUUUCAUGAAAAUUUCAUUUAUUGUAGUUAGUUCUUAGACAUAUAUUUGGAAUAAAAAAUAAUACUUGUCUAUUAUUUCUGGGUUGUGAGAUAGUUAUAUUCAA